rnacentral:ncRNA from 2 species
UCUUGAUUUGAUGGUAGGGUUAGUGUUAUUUGUAAAGAGAAAACCAGCUUCCAGAUCUCGAAUUUGCCUCAAACUUAUCUUCUCUUGUAGAUCUGGAAGCUAGGUUUUCUCUUUACAAAUAACACUAUUUUUUCCCCCAUUAGGUCUG